AGAGUUUGAUCAUGGCUCAGAAUGAGCGCUGGCGGCGUGCCUAACACAUGCAAGUCGAGCGUGAAAGGCCUUCGGGCUGAGUAAAGCGGCGAACGGGUGAGUAAAGCGUGAGAAUCUGCCCUUUCAGUGAAGGAUACCUUCGAGAAAUCGGAGUUAAUACUGCAUACGUCCCUCCGGGGAGAAAGAUGGCCUCUUUGCUGUCGCUGAUUGAUGAGCUUACGUACUAUUAGCUAGUUGGUAGGGUAAAGGCCUACCAAGGCGAUGAUGGUUAACCGGCCUGAGAGGGUGUACGGUCACACUGGAACUUAGACACGGUCCAGACUCCUACGGGAGGCAGCAGUGAGGAAUCUUGCACAAUGGGCGAAAGCCUGAUGCAGCGACGCCGCGUGGAGGAUGAAGGUCUUCGGAUUGUAAACUUCUGUUAAGUGGGAAGAAAGACGCAAUUUUAAUAAAGUUGUGGGAUGACGGUACCAUUAGAGAAAGCACCGGCUAACUUCGUGCCAGCAGCCGCGGUAAUACGAAGGGUGCAAGCGUUAUUCGGAAUGAUUGGGCGUAAAGGGUGCGCAGACGGUUUGCUAAGUCAACUGUUAAAUUCCCCGGCCUAACCGGGAGCUCGCAGUAGAAACUGACAAACUAGAGGAUGGAAGAGAGAAGCGGAAUUCUCGGAGUAGCGGUAAAAUGCGUAGAUCUCGAGAGGAACACCGAUGGCGAAGGCAGCUUCUUGGUCCAUUUCUGACGUUCAGGCACGAAAGCGUGGGGAGCAAACAGGAUUAGAUACCCUGGUAGUCCACGCCGUAAACGAUGAUCACUAGACGUUAGUCGUGCUUGCAUGACUAGUGUCGUAGCUAACGCGUUAAGUGAUUCGCCUGGGAAGUACGGUCGCAAGAUUAAAACUCAAAGGAAUUGACGG
rnacentral:rRNA from 1 species